CGACGGUGGAGACGGUGACGAAUUCAACAAGAAACCUCCGAAGCUGAGCUUGCUAAGGAAAAUACUAAUGGACGCAAGCUAGGCGAAGAACAUAUUUUAGCUGUCAAAAUGUUUUGCUGAGAAAUAUGGAGGGAUAGUAACAAUUUGAGAAAUAAAACAAAGAUAUGAUGACGAUGAGCUGUUGAAGAACAUAUUUUAGCUGUC